ensembl:processed_transcript 4921531C22Rik RIKEN cDNA 4921531C22 gene
GCCGAAAACAAAUUCCAGAUGGCAAAGCUUGUUGGGGACCUCAACGCAACUGACCUUCCUAGAAUCAUCGUCACCUCUGAAGAGACUUGCCACGGUCUGCACAGAUCCAGCACUGGGGAAUGAGGAAUUUGACAUUGUAAUUUUUUUUUUUCCUUUCGUGCCUUGAAAGAGACUCUUCCCACCAGCUUGUACUACCCACACACACCCUCCAUGCACUCGGAAGAUGAAGGCAGGAGGAAAAGGAGUUCAACCUUUGUUAUGCAUUUAGUUGGAGGCCAGCCUGGGGGUCUUGUGGGGCCCUGUAUCAAAAAGGUGAGGUGAGAACUAUUCUCUCAAAAGCAGAGUAUAAACUCUCAGCCUGUGUGCUGAUCCUGUCCCAGCCUUUUAAACUAAAUGAGUUAUAUAACUACUAUACAAACCCCACCCUACCCCAGCUGUCCUCUAAGCAAUAGUCUACCUAAGGAACUGUGCGCCUUGAAGCCAAAAAACAAAACAAACAAACAAACCCCACAGUGCCCUCACUUGCAAAGUGUGCUUG